rnacentral:rRNA from 1 species
AUUGAACGCUGGCGGCAUGCGUAACACAUGCAAGUCGAACGGUGUUUGGUGCUUGCACCAGACAUAGUGGCGGACAGGUGAGUAAUGCGUAGGAAUCUGUCUUAGAGAGGGGGACAACCCGAGGAAACUUGGGCUAAAACCGCAUAUUCUCGAGAGAGGAAAGCAGGGGACCGGAAACGGCCCUGUGCUCUAAGGUGAGCCUACGUCGGAUUAGCUAGUUGGUAGGGUAAAAGCCUACCAAGGCGAUGAUCUGUAGCUGGUCUGAGAGGACGGACAGCCACUCUGGGACUGAGACACGGCCCAGACUCCUACGGGAGGCAGCAGUGGGGAAUAUUGGACAAUGGGGGGAACCCUGAUCCAGCGAUGCCGCGUGUGUGAAGAAGGCCUGCGGGUUGUAAAGCACUUUCAGUGGGAAAGAGAAGCGUCUUGUGAAUAAUGGGACGUGGAGACGUUACUCACAGAAGAAGCACCGGCUAAACUCUGUGCCAGCAGCCGCGGUAA